GUCAGGGGACACACGGUGGCCAGGUACUGGACCAGCUGCACGUGCUGACCCGGUCGAUACGAGCGACCUUUGCCCUGGCUGUACAGCCAUUCUGCCUUUAAACUGGUAGUGGAAGAAAUACAUUACUGCUACUAGACGCCGUCCAGCACCUUGAGGCUCAGGCACCAGCUCAUGACGUAAGGAGAGAAUCGAUAGACGCGUGGGUAGGUGGGCAGGAAUCGUACGGAGUGUCGUUAGGCUGUUCCCGUGAAGCAAGAGUGUCUGCAAUAAAAAGAACAUGGCAGCAAAUCUAAACAGGUGAGUCGUACAUGAAGAAUGGAUGGCUUGCUACUUCUCA